rnacentral:rRNA from 1 species
CCUACGGGAGGCAGCAGUGGGGAAUUUUGGACAAUGGGGGCAACCCUGAUCCAGCCAUGCCGCGUGAGUGAAGAAGGCCUUCGGGUUGUAAAGCUCUUUCGGCCGGGAAGAAAUCGCUCAAGCUAAUACCUUGGGUGGAUGACGGUACCGGAAGAAGAAGCACCGGCUAACUACGUGCCAGCAGCCGCGGUAAUACGUAGGGUGCGAGCGUUAAUCGGAAUUACUGGGCGUAAAGCGUGCGCAGGCGGUUUCGUAAGACAGAUGUGAAAUCCCCGGGCUUAACCUGGGAACUGCGUUUGUGACUGCGAGACUUGAGUGCGGCAGAGGGGGGUGGAAUUCCACGUGUAGCAGUGAAAUGCGUAGAGAUGUGGAGGAACACCGAUGGCGAAGGCAGCCCCCUGGGUCGACACUGACGCUCAUGCACGAAAGCGUGGGGAGCAAACAGGAUUAGAUACCCUGGUAGUCCACGCCCUAAACAAUGCGAACUAGGUGUUGGGGAAGGAGACUUCUUUAGUACCGUAGCUAACGCGUGAAGUUCGCCGCCUGGGGAGUACGGUCGCAAGAUUAAAACUCAAAGGAAUUGACGGGG